rnacentral:rRNA from 1 species
AGUGAACGCUGGCGGUAGGCCUAACACAUGCAAGUCGAACGGCAGCACAGGAGAGCUUGCUCUCUGGGUGGCGAGUGGCGGACGGGUGAGGAAUACAUCGGAAUCUACUUUUUCGUGGGGGAUAACGUAGGGAAACUUACGCUAAUACCGCAUACGACCUACGGGUGAAAGCAGGGGAUCUUCUGACCUUGCGCGAUUGAAUGAGCCGAGGUCGGAUUAGCUAGUUGGCGGGGUAAAGGCCCGCCAAGGCGACGAUCCGUAGCUGGUCUGAGAGGAUGAUCAGCCACACUGGAACUGAGACACGGUCCAGACUCCUACGGGAGGCAGCAGUGGGGAAUAUUGGACAAUGGGCGCAAGCCUGAUCCAGCCAUACCGCGUGGGUGAAGAAGGCCUUCGGGUUGUAAAGCCCUUUUGUUGGGAAAGAAAUCCAGCUGGUUAAUACCCGGUUGGGAUGACGGUACCCAAAGAAUAAGCACCGGCUAACUUCGUGCCAGCAGCCGCGGUAA